GUAGUAAGGAACGAUUUCUAUGUCAUGAUUGAAUCCGAUACUAAUGUGUGCUCGUUUGGCUUCGCUUUGACAUUUUUACCUGCAGCUAUGUGACUAUCGUGCCCAAAACAUAUAAAAUGAUUUCAUAAUCAAUUAAAGCUUCCGAGUCUAAUAUUAGCUAAGGCAGCAAUUUGAUUGUGAUGCUUUGGGUCCCAGAUUUGUUUAUGUAUAAAAAAUUUUAGUGCAGAAACUUGUUUUAGGCUUAUUAGUUGUGAAAAUCCUGAAAGUUUCUCUUAAAACGUCAUUUUAGUUUAUGUUUUCUAAUAGCUAGUAGAGCCAAGAAGAAAUUACUUAUAAGAUUUAAUUUUUCUCUUGUUGUUUUGUAGUUUUGUUUUCUUUUAUUUUGAUUGUUGUGCGUAUCUCUAACUGCCUGGAAGUGAACUUUUUUCUUAUUUUCUCGACUCGGGCUAUUAGCUCAUCUAUUUCCUCGUUUUGCUUCAUUUCUUUCAAAUAUAGCAGAACUUUCCUCAUAUCUCUUGAUUUAUAUUAUCAAUGGGAAUAGCAGUGUUAGUUCAUAAGUGAUGCCCAUUUGAUCCGAGGAUCCCUCCAGGACACUUUGGAUACAUUGAAAGCCUUUGUGACAUGUCAAAGAGAGGAGUAGGAUAUAUUCGGUGUGUGUCUUGCCUAGUCUUGAUAAAUUGCAUGAUCGAGACCUUUCCUACAAGAUUAUGAUGAAUGUUAAGCUUUCUUUAUAACCUUUGCCUUUUCUCGUGCUUGUAUAACCAUGUUGGUGAUCCCAUAAUUAUAAAGUUUGAUUUAUUAUCUAUUUUAGCAU
rnacentral:lncRNA from 1 species